GCAGUUAUAGCUCAGUGGUAAAGUGCAUGCUUAGCAUGCAUGAGGGUGCUGGGUUCAAUCCCCCAUACCUCCG
rnacentral:tRNA from 1 species